GUCGGCAGCUAGCUCUCUGCAACUCUCACAUGGUCACCCACUGAAGCUAAACAGGGCUGCGCCCUGUCAGUAGCUGGAUGGGAGACCAAGUGGGAAAGCUGGGUUGUUGCCGGAA
ensembl:rRNA 5S_rRNA 5S ribosomal RNA